AUUGAACGCUGGCGGCAGGCUUAACACAUGCAAGUCGAACGAGUGGCGGACGGGUGAGUAAUGUCUGGGAAACUGCCUGAUGGAGGGGGAUAACUACUGGAAACGGUAGCUAUUACCGCAUAUCAUCGGAUGUGCCCAGCUGGGAUUAGCUUGUAGGUGGGGUAAAGGCUCACCUAGGCGACGAUCCCUAGCUGGUCUGAGAGGAUGACCAGCCACACUGGAACGGAGACACGGUCCAGACUCCUACGGGGGGAAGCAGUGGGGAAUAUGGAGCAAGUGGAGCAAGCCUGAUGCAGCCAUGCCGCGUGUAUGAAGAAGGCCUUCGGGUUUUAAAGUACUUUCAGCGGGGAGGCGGUACCCGCAGAAGAAGCACCGGCUAACUCCGUGCCAGCAGCCGCGGUAAUUC
rnacentral:rRNA from 1 species